rnacentral:tRNA from 1 species
GGGGGUGUUGUUCAGUGGUAGAGAGCUUGCCUAGCAUGCAUGAGGCCCUGGGUUUCAUCCCUAGCACCUUCA